AUGGAGCUGUUCCAGGACGGCCAGCGCGUGCGGCUGCGGAGCCGCGCGCGCGGGACGUACCUGCACGCCGACGAUGACGGGCUUGGCGUCUCCCUCCGCCGGCUCCGCGCGUCGAUGAACGUGGCUUGGACGGUGCACUUCUAUCAGGGCCGGUACCUGCUCUUCCAGAGCGCCGUCUACGGUGGCUACCUCACCGCCACGUCCGCGCCGGCGCGGCGCGGCCACCGCGGGCGCCGCGUCGAGCAGCGCAACUACUUUCACUCGGAGGUGGAUCUAAUGCUUUGGCAGGCCGUCCACAUGGAGAACCUCUUCCUCAACCACAUGAACGGCGGCAACCUCCGCGCCAACGGGAGGUACCGCCGCUGGAACAACGGCGUCAGCGUCGACCACAUCGACGACAUCAACAACAUCAGCACCAUGAUGCAUUGGGUCGUGGAGGUCAUCCCCGCCAGGGAGAUCAUGCCUCGCCUUCCACGUCCGUCUCCGUUGACUUUUCGCCCCCCUCAUGUCCAAAUUCUGGCUCCGCCCCUGGGUGGGAGGUCCGUGCUCCGCCUGAGGAGCGAGCUGGCUAGGCGGCUGGGCGAGCUCGCAAUCAUGGACUUGGAGGUCGCCGACCUCGUCAUGUGCUUGCCCACGCAUGAUGGCCAGCUUAUUCCACUGGUCGUCGAUCUGCCCCGCAGCGGCGAGACCCUCCACAUCGUCGUCGUCAUCGUCGGGUCGCCUGUACGAGGGGACGAACUGCUCUGUGACAUCGAGGAGUACAUGGACAUGACAAGUAGGCCGGAGAUGACCGAGAGGGUGAAGGAGAAAGUACGAACGAGUGGGAACGAAGAUGAUAAUGGCCGCGUGCACGGCACGUACCUGCACGCAGACGACGACGGGCAUGGCGUCUUCCUCCGCCAACACCGGGCGUCGAUGAACGCGGCUUGGGCGGUUCACCGGCACCAGAUCCAGAACGAGCAGUACCUGCUCCUCCACAGCGCCGCCUACGGCCGCUACCUCGCCGCCACGGACGUGCCGGCGCCGCGCGACCACCGCGGGCUCCGCGUCGAGCAGCGCAACUACAACCAUCCUGAAGUGGAUGCAAUGGUUUGGCAGGUCAUCCUGUCGGAAUCCGGGGAAGGGGUCUACCUCCGCCACAUCGGCGGCCGCCGCCUCCGCGCCAACGGGAGGUACUGGAACACCGACGCCACCGUCGACUACGUCGACGACCUCGACAACAUCAGCAGGAAGAUGCUCUGGGUCGUAGAGCAAAUCCCCUCCAGGGAGAUCAUACCUCCCCUUCCACGUCCCACUAGGCUUCCCCACCUGACGUUGCGGUCGCGGCUGAUCAUGUACAUUUUGCCGACCGUCUACGGGGCCCUCCUCGCCCGCGGCACGUUCGUGUUCAGGGGGAGGUCCGUGUACCGGCUGAGGAAGGAGCUGGCCAGGCAGCUGGGCGUCAUCGUAAACGUGGAGGACUCCGACCUCUUCAUGUGCCUCCCCACGCAGGAUGGCCGGAUUUUUCCACUCGUCGUCGACCUGCCCCGCAGCGGCCAGACCCUCCACAUCGUCGUCGUCGUCGCCGGAACGCCUGUAUCUGUUUCAAUUACUCUGAACUCUGAACGAGAAGCCCAGGCGGCGCUGCGGUACGCGGAUGUCGAUGCAUAG
rnacentral:rRNA from 1 species